rnacentral:rRNA from 1 species
UACGUAGGGUGCAAGCGUUGUCCGGAAUUAUUGGGCGUAAAGAGCUCGUAGGCGGUUUGUCGCGUCGAAUGUGAAAACCCGGGGCUCAACCCCGGGCCUGCAUUCGAUACGGGCAGACUAGAGUUCGGUAGGGGAGUCUGGAAUUCCUGGUGUAGCGGUGAAAUGCGCAGAUAUCAGGAGGAACACCGGUGGCGAAGGCGGCUACCUGGACAAUUACUGACGCUCAGGCACGAAAGCGUGGGGAGCAAAAGGG